UACAGAGGUCCCGAGCGUUGUUCGGAUUCACUGGGCGUAAAGGGUGCGUAGGUGGUGAGGUAAGUCGGAUGUGAAAUCUCCGGGCUCAACCCGGAAAUGGCAUUGGAAACUACCUUGCUGGAGGAUUUGAGGGGGGAUUGGAAUACUUGGUGUAGCAGUGAAAUGCGUAGAUAUCAAGUGGAACACCAGUGGCGAAGGCGAAUCCCUGGAAAAUACCUGACACUGAGGCACGAAAGCGUGGGGAGCAAACAGG
rnacentral:rRNA from 1 species